GCCUGGGUGGCUCAGUCGGUUAAGCAUCUGACUUUGGCUCAGGUCAUGAUCUCACAGCUUGUGGGUUUGAGCCCUGCGUCGGGCU
rnacentral:tRNA from 1 species